rnacentral:rRNA from 1 species
AGUGAACGCUGGCGGUAGGCCUAACACAUGCAAGUCGAACGGCAGCACAGGAGAGCUUGCUCUCUGGGUGGCGAGUGGCGGACGGGUGAGGAAUACAUCGGAAUCUACCUUUUCGUGGGGGAUAACGUAGGGAAACUUACGCUAAUACCGCAUACGACCUUCGGGUGAAAGCAGGGGACCGUCGGGCCUUGCGCGGAUAGAUGAGCCGAUGUCGGAUUAGCUAGUUGGCGGGGUAAAGGCCCACCAAGGCGACGAUCCGUAGCUGGUCUGAGAGGAUGAUCAGCCACACUGGAACUGAGACACGGUCCAGACUCCUACGGGAGGCAGCAGUGGGGAAUAUUGGACAAUGGGCGCAAGCCUGAUCCAGCCAUACCGCGUGGGUGAAGAAGGCCUUCGGGUUGUAAAGCCCUUUUGUUGGGAAAGAAAAGCAGCCAGUUAAUACCUGGUUGUUCUGACGGUACCCAAAGAAUAAGCACCGGCUAACUUCGUGCCAGCCGCCGCCGUAA